rnacentral:rRNA from 1 species
GAUGAACGCUGGCUACAGGCUUAACACAUGCAAGUCGAGGGGAAACGACGGGGAAGCUUGCUUCCCCGGGCGUCGACCGGCGCACGGGUGAGUAACGCGUAUCCAACCUGCCUCUGACUGAGGGAUAACCCGUCGAAAGUCGGCCUAAUACCUCAUGGUAUCGUCUGCGGGCAUCCAACGACGAUUAAAGAUUUCAUCGGUCAGGGAUGGGGAUGCGUCUGAUUAGCUUGUUGGCGGGGUAACGGCCCACCAAGGCUACGAUCAGUAGGGGUUCUGAGAGGAAGGUCCCCCACAUUGGAACUGAGACACGGUCCAAACUCCUACGGGAGGCAGCAGUGAGGAAUAUUGGUCAAUGGGCGAGAGCCUGAACCAGCCAAGUAGCGUGCAGGAAGACGGCCCUAUGGGUUGUAAACUGCUUUUAUGCGGGGAUAAAGUGAGGGACGUGUCCCCCAUUGCAGGUACCGCAUGAAUAAGGACCGGCUAAUUCCGUG